GGAUGUGAAAGUAAUCUGGCUGCGACAUCUGUUGCCCCAUCAAUCACCAGGAUUGAUUAGGCCGAUCUGGUUGGUUAGCGGGUGUCCUCCUUCUUACAUCACUGCUCUAUGUGUGUCCUUCUUGAAUCCUGGCAUUCAGUGGGAGAGGAUGACCUGCCCUGAUAGAAAGAGGAUCGUUCUUCGGUCAAGGGUAUAUGAGUAACUGUACUCCCCCUGCUAGAACUUCCAAACAAGCUCUCAAAAGAAUCAAAUCAUACUACUACAAAAAAUCAUUAAUUCACAAAGGAAGGCAAUAGAGGAAGAAAGGAACAAAGAAACUACAGAAAAAAAUUGACAAAAUGGCAAUAGUAAGUCCUUAUCU
rfam:Pteropus alecto contig165139, whole genome shotgun sequence.